ACUAACAAGGAUUCCCCUAGUAACGGCGAGUGAAGAGGGAAGAGCUCAAAUUUGAAAGCUGGUACCUCCGGUAUCCGCGUUGUAACCUCGAGACACGUUUUCCGUGCGGCGCUAUGGACAAGUUCCUUGGAACAGGACAUCGUAGAGGGUGAAAAUCCCGUACUUGCCAUGGAUGUACCGUGCUUUGCGAUACGUGCUCUAAGAGUCGAGUUGUUUGGGAUUGCAGCUCAAAAUGGGUGGUAGACUCCAUCUAAAGCUAAAUAUCGGGGAGAGACCGAUAGCGAACAAGUACCGUGAGGGAAAGAUGAAAAGCACUUUGGAAAGAGAGUUAAAAGUACGUGAAAUUGUCGAAAGGGAAGCGCUUGAAGUCAGCCAUGCCGCUCAGGACUCAGCCUGGCUUUUGCUUGGUGUAUUUCCUGGGUAGCAAGUCAGCAUUGGUUUGGAUCGUCGGAGAAGCAUAGUCGGAAUGUGGCGCCCUCGGGCGUGUUAUAGCCUUCUAUUGGAUACGACGAUCUAGACCAAGGAACGCAGCGCGCCUUAUGGCGGGUCUUCGGACACCUCGCG
rnacentral:rRNA from 1 species